ACCAGAUUGCUAGGCUGUGACCAUUAAUGAUUCUUAUGUUCUCUGCAGCAUCUUUAUUGCAAGUACUCUUAUUAUCUUCGAAGAGAAAUAAAGUAAUGAAACAUAUAGUUACAAUUCAACCUAUUUUUCAAAGGUUAACUGGACUAUAAGUAGAGAUGACUUGUUUAUUUUCCAUUAUUUCCUUCUUGAUUUUGACGUUCUCAUAUGCUUAUGAUGAAAACUGAAGUAGACUUAGUCACUCAAAAUUAUUUCUUUGGCAUUUAGUUAGCUGUUAUUUUGCUUUUUAAAGAUGGUAGCCCUAAACUAAGUUCUAAGCCAUUGGCAGCAGUAACAGUGAUAGCAUCUUUGUUGCUUUCUUGCAAAUUUAUAUCAUAUUACAGAAAGAAAUUAGAAGUACAUUUCUUUGAUUAAUUUUUCAAUCACCUGAAUACUCUCCUUACCUCUAGAUAUUGCUCAAUUAGUAUUUUUAUUGUUUGCACACUGUAAAUACACAUUAUUCAUGUUUUGUAAAGAGCAAUACAUCAGCAAUAUAAAAGCUAAGACAGUCCUACUAAUUCUUAUGUUAUUUUGAAGUGCUACUGGAAAAUACUGGAGAAGAACUUGACCCUAUCCUAAGGCCACUUUUACUCAGACAUUUAAGCAGUCAGGAACAUUUGCCUUGGAGAACCCACUAUCGAGUGUGCUCCUGAAUUCCACUUCAUAUUACAACUAAGCUGGGAAAUCCACAUUCUCUUCCUGAAACAUCUGUUAAGAAAUAUGAAGAUACAGGACGUGAAUGCCAGCUGACAAUACGCAUUCCCAGGGAAUGAUUGGUGCUGAAGAUUCUCAAGGACCAUUUUACCUACUCGCUUUAUGUCAAUGUCUGUUGUUCCCUCUUUGAGGACAAGCAGCUCUUCUCUUUCUGUCUCACAGUGGAUCUCCUGAAAUAUGUAAGAUUGAUGAUACAAAUGGUACAAGAAUUAAUCAUUCAAAGCCUGGGGUGUGCAACUCCUGAUAUUUACACUUUCUUCUGGUGCUGACUCCACGACAGCCCUUCUGUAGUUUGCUGCUGAUCAAGGAUUUUAAUAUCUCCAGACUUUUUUAACAUAG